rnacentral:lncRNA from 1 species
CUUGCCCUUGGCUGCAAAAUGGGUAGCAGCAGCCCAGGAGGCUGGAGCCAGUAUAAUUUUAGGAGAGUACUAGAAUCCUCCAAGGACAGGGAAGCGACCAUAACAGGUGCCAACUGACCACCCGCCCUUGGGAAUUCACCCUUUCACAUACUCAACUAAAUUUUUAGGUGGCUGGUUAGUUAGAGCCUAGGGAGACCACUUCUGUAUAUAUGCUCCUUUAUGAGGUGUAAAGACCUGGCCAUUUUUCUAUAAAAGCCAUCUUUCUAAAGGAG